rnacentral:rRNA from 1 species
CCUACGGGGGGCUGCAGUGGGGAAUAUUGGACAAUGGGGGCAACCCUGAUCCAGCCAUGCCGCGUGUGUGAAGAAGGCCCUCGGGUUGUAAAGCACUUUCAGUGAGGAAGAACGCCUGGUGGUUAAUACCCAUCAGGAAAGACAUCACUCACAGAAGAAGCACCGGCUAACUCCGUGCCAGCAGCCGCGGUAAUACGGAGGGUGCGAGCGUUAAUCGGAAUUACUGGGCGUAAAGCGCGCGUAGGUGGCUUGAUAAGCCGGUUGUGAAAGCCCCGGGCCCAACCUGGGAACGGCAUCCGGAACUGUCAAGCUAGAGUGCAGGAGAGGAAGGUAGAAUUCCCGGUGUAGCGGUGAAAUGCGUAGAGAUCGGGAGGAAUACCAGUGGCGAAGGCGGCCUUCUGGACUGACACUGACACUGAGGUGCGAAAGCGUGGGUAGCAAACAGGAUUAGAUACCCUGGUAGUC